rnacentral:rRNA from 1 species
UACGAAGGGAGCUAGCGUUAUUCGGAAUCACUGGGCUUAAAGCGUGCGUAGGCGGCUCAGAAAGUUGGGUGUGAAAUCCCUCGGCUCAACCGAGGAAUUGCGCUCAAAACUACUGAGCUCGAGGGAGUUAGAGGUGAGCGGAACUAAUGGUGGAGCGGUGAAAUGCGUUGAUAUCAUUAGGAACACCGGUGGCGAAAGCGGCUCACUGGGACUCUUCUGACGCUGAUGUACGAAAGCUAGGGUAGCGAACGGG